rnacentral:rRNA from 1 species
UGAGUAACCUGCCCUUAACUUCGGGAUAAGCCUGGGAAACCGGGUCUAAUACCGGAUACGACGGACCACCGCAUGGCGGUCCGUGGAAAGCUUUAUGCGGUUUUGGAUGGACUCGCGGCCUAUCAGCUAGUUGGUUGGGGUAAUGGCCCACCAAGGCGACGACGGGUAGCCGGCCUGAGAGGGUGACCGGCCACACUGGGACUGAGACACGGCCCAGACUCCUACGGGAGGCAG